UGACGGUACCUGACUAAGAAGCCCCGGCUAACUACGUGCCAGCAGCCGCGGUAAUACGUAGGGGGCAAGCGUUAUCCGGAUUUACUGGGUGUAAAGGGUGCGUAGGUGGCAAGGCAAGUCAGAUGUGAAAGCCCGGGGCUCAACCCCGGUACUGCAUUUGAAACUGUCUAGCUAGAGUGCAGGAGAGGUAAGCGGAAUUCCUAGUGUAGCGGUGAAAUGCGUAGAUAUUAGGAGGAACACCAGUGGCGAAGGCGGCUUACUGGACUGUAACUGACACUGAGGCACGAAAGCGUGGGGAGCAAACAGGAUUAGAUACCCUG
rnacentral:rRNA from 1 species